AAGGAAAUGAGCUGUUUGCAAGUUUUGCAGUGGAUUUCCCCAUCAUCAGAGGUCUUCAGGGUUGACUCACUCCUCCCCUCUGGGCUUUCCCUGACACUCCGGUAAGGUCUCACAAACUUCUAACAAGCUGCUCCAUGGUUCGGAUACUGCUGACCCUGAGACAACUCCUGAGGGUGGGCACAUGGCCUAGUCUCUCCCAGAUGGAAUGUUUUCUGAAGCCCGUUCCUUGGCCACCUCCAGAUCUUCUAUUCUCAGACCAAGAACACAGAACCACACAAGCGAGAGCGCCAUAGUGGAAACCCCACUGUGCUCUGUGACAAACUCUAUGUGAGCUGGGUGAUUUCUUCCCCUCUCUGGUCCUCAGUUAUCAUAUGGAUAAAAGGAGAAGAUUGGAUUCCAUUACUAAGGGAUCUUCUGACCCCAAGACUCCAGACAGAAAAAAAAAAGUAGACAGAGACUUGGAUUGGGGUGAGGGUAGAGUCUGACCCCUGUGUGCAGCCCCUGUGAGCCAGAUGUCAGGCCGGCAGGCAAGGUGGCUGGAAUAGGCAAGAGUCUGGCCUGAGGUUAGGACUUAAAUUACUUUCUUCCCACCCAUCCUACUCUACUCACAGGGCUGGCAGCAGACAAAGGUAGUUCACACCCUGGACUGAUGGCCAAGUGGAGAUUUGGCUGAGCUGGGGGUAGAGGGCUCAGAAGGACAAUGUCCUGAUGACUUAUCUUCCUUCUUUUUGGCCUCAAGCCUACCUGGGGCAUCCUGAUGAUGGGCUCUGGGAAGGGAGUGGUGGGGGGGAGACUUUCCAUCCCAUCUCACCCUCACCCCCUGCCCCACCCUGUAGUGGGAAUUCAUUCACCCAAUAGUUUUGGGGUACUGGUCUUAGGGUGUGGCUUUUGUGCAGAAGAGGAGGGGUCUUGCACUCUCUCUCCUGGGUGGUGGUCUGAGACUUGAUGGCAGCAUCCUACAUCUCCAGG
ensembl:lncRNA